CUGUUAAAUGACUGACUAGCGAGCGCAUUCAUCGCCGGAGAUAUUAACGGGAAAAUUUCGUCGUGUCUUCCUUUGAUUGGUCCGAAUCUCCACGUUAUAGAAGAAACUCGCGCUUUGAUUGGACCGCGUCUCUAUAGUUGGCCUCCGUUUAUUGGCCCACGUCGCGACUCUCGCUUGUUCUAGAAGUUUCGGGGACGAACAAGAUUGGACGUGCCUCUCGUAGACUGCGAAUGACACACAUCAGUGAUGAAUGCGUUGAGUAUAUCUCACUGUCCUCUUGUCGAGAAUUUUAUCGAGCUACGGAUUUAUAUUUUGAUGUAAUUGCGAUAAUGACUCUAUUACAUGUAUUUUUUCGUAGUAUUAGCGUAAAUAUCUGAUGAAUUCUCGCGAUACCCGACGACAACGGUUUCGUCAAUUGAGAAUCCCUCUCCGCAAUCUCGAUCUUCCGAAGGCAGUACGAUCUGAAUUAUGAUCUUCAGUAUAAUAGAAGCGAAGGGCGAAAAAUGAGAGAUGCUCCAUUUUCAGAAAUAUCUCAGUUUCUUUACGACUGAAUUAAACUCAGGCUCCGUCCUGAUAGAUCCCUGAACGGACGUUCCUGGCGACGUAGCAUGUAUAAUUGCAUAUCGGCAAAUUGUCGUUCAGUUGUAACACGACACGGUGCGACGGGCAAAACCCGGCAAUGACCAAGAACACCAAAAUUGUAAAUAGCUCAUUUGACAGGUCUUUCAUAAUUCCCAAAAAAAGCACCUUCGAUGCAAAGAUCUUUCGCCAAGUACAUUAAAAAUCUGUUCAUUACACACAAAAAUAUCUUCUUUAAUCAAAAAUAUAUGCAUAUAAUCAUCUCGUACAAAAAAAGAUUCAAAUUACAUACUACUGCUAAGUACAUGUCUGUUAAUUCACAAUAAAAGCAUGACGACUGCUGUCAGUGGUAUCAGACUGGCGAUAAACUUAUCCAACUACAAAUAAUAAUUAAGUAUGAAUAAAAAAUAAAAUAACUCGUACAUUGAUGAAAAUCCAAUUCGCAAUUCACCAAUCCUAUUUAGAGUAGUGUAAUAAUUAUGACUAGUUUGUUGUAUAUUUUUUACUUAGUUCUGAACCUAUGACUAUGAAACACAGUGACCUCACUUUUUUUCAUUAUAUUAUACGAGUUAAA